CUACGGGAGGCUGCAGUGGGGAAUAUUGCACAAUGGAGGAAACUCUGAUGCAGCAACGCCGCGUGGAGGAUGACACUUUUCGGAGCGUAAACUCCUUUUAUAUAGGAAGAUAAUGACGGUACUAUAUGAAUAAGCACCGGCUAACUCCGUGCCAGCAGCCGCGGUAAUACGGAGGGUGCAAGCGUUACUCGGAAUCACUGGGCGUAAAGAGCGUGUAGGCGGGUUAAUAAGUCAGAAGUGAAAUCCUAUGGCUCAACCAUAGAACUGCUUUUGAAACUGUUAACCUAGAGUGUGGGAGAGGUAGAUGGAAUUUCUGGUGUAGGGGUAAAAUCCGUAGAGAUCAGAAGGGAUACCGAUUGCGAAGGCGAUCUACUGGAACAUAACUGACGCUGAGACGCGAAAGCGUGGGGAGCAAACAGGAUUAGAUACCCGGGUAGUC
rnacentral:rRNA from 1 species